AUGCAAAAGGCGACAAUUCGAGCUCGAGUAAUGGAGGAAACAAUGAUGAUUCGCCUCUCGGGGUAUUACCUCAUCAGAUUCGAGGCUCACUUUCUCAGUUCUCACAGAUCACGCUGCUUGGCCAAGCUUCCGACAGCUGUACCGCUUGCUCUGAAACCGUGAUAUCGGAGUAUCGAGAGAGAGGAAACAGUUUCUUACUUGAAGCUAUUAACCAUCCUACAUACCUGGAAGAUCUCACCGGUUUAACCGAGCUUAAGAAAGCUGCUAAUUCAUUUAACCUCGACUGGGAAAACGAUGAUACUGAUGAUGAAGAUGUAGCUGUAGUAGAUAUGUAAAAGUCAGAUUUAUAACCCAAAUGUCCAUAGAGUAAUUCACAUUUCACAAGAUGACUUUUAUAUGAAUCACUUAAUAAUCAUUUUUUUAACUACAAUGGAAAAAAAAAAAAGCUUGCAAAACUA